rnacentral:rRNA from 1 species
GACGAACGCUGGCGGCGUGCUUAACACAUGCAAGUCGAACGGAAAGGCCCUGCUUUUGUGGGGUGCUCGAGUGGCGAACGGGUGAGUAACACGUGAGUAACCUGCCCUUGACUUUGGGAUAACUUCAGGAAACUGGGGCUAAUACCGGAUAGGAGCUCCUGCUGCAUGGUGGGGGUUGGAAAGAUUCGGCGGUUGGGGAUGGACUCGCGGCUUAUCAGCUUGUUGGUGGGGUAGUGGCUUACAAAGGCUUUGACGGGUAGCCGGCCUGAGAGGGUGACCGGCCACAUUGGGACUGAGGUACGGACCAGACUCCUACGGGAGGCAGCAGUGGGGAAUAUUACACAGUGGGCGGAAGCCUGAUGCAGCAACGCUGCGUUCGGGAUGACGGCCUUCGGGUUAUAAACCGCUUUCGCCUGUGACGAAGCGGGAUUGACGGUAAUGGGUAAAGAAGCACCGGCUAACUACGUG